AAGAAAGGAUAAUUGAUCAGGAGCCAAUCAGAGAAUGUUAUGUUUAGCAACAAUAUUCUUAUUCAUAGUUGAUGAGCGGCUUCACAAGUCGCAGGGCUUUGCCAUGCAUGCAUUCACUUGCUGGUCGGUGGCGAUCUCCAGCGUGAACACAAAACAGAAAAUUAAAAAAUCUCUACACUUUCCAUGGCUGCUGCUCAUCUCAAACCAGUGAAUGGGGGAAGUCUGAAGCUUAGGCUCCUUUGGUAUUGUUAACAUAAGCUUAGGGGCGUGUUUUCCUGAUUCAAAUCAAAUGAACACAUACAAUUCAAAUAAGGGGUGCAUCUCAUAGGUGACAGCCACAGAUAUUAUCAAAGGAAAGAAUUGUAUUAAUUUUUUCCUGACAUUAACGCCAUUGCAAACUCCACAAAUCCAAUAGAUCACGUCUACUUUUAUUACUUAUGCAUGUAUAGUACUACUUUAACAAGGCUAGUUCACAUUGUUAGGUGUUGCACAUUAUUCAAAUAUGUUACAAGUGGUAGCAAAUAAAAUACUUUUAGCAUGAAGGACACACCUUUGAGACACUGAGCACUUGAAAGAUUAAUCUGAAAAUAAUAAGAAAUGUCAGAGCUCUCUGUAUGCCCCUUACUAUUAGCACUGCUAGUUCUUAUGGGUAUCUAAUUAAAAAUGGACCUUACAGUUACAGGACAAACUAACACAAGAAUUUUUCCUAACACAGUUAGGCUCGAAUCAGUAAAAUCUUGAAUACUUAAAUUUAGAAAAAUUUUGCACCAGUAACUGCCCAAAGUGAAUAGGGAAUGUAGCACAUGCUAGUUAAACAUUUUAUCAAACAUUUGAGAUGCACUGAAGCAAAAGGAGAACAACAUUACCAAUCACCAUGCUUUCGCUGUUUCAACAUCAGAGCUUCCACCUAAAUUGACCGUAUGUAAAAGAGAUUCAUUCUGUUGGGUAAGGUACGAUUCAGAGAGAGAAGAAUAAGGGGAGGAGGUAUUUACCUCUGUGCUAUCAACAUGUCCCUGCUGGAGAGCAGCAGAAGGGAG
rnacentral:lncRNA from 1 species